AUAUUGCACAAUGGGCGAAAGCCUGAUGCAGCAACGCGGCGUGAGCGAUGAAGGCCUUUGGGUCGUAAAGCUCUGUCCUUGGGGAAGAAAAAAAUGCCGGUACCCUUGGAGGAUGCCCCGGCUAACUACGUGCCAGCUGCCGCGGUACUACAUAGGGGGCGAGCGUUAUCCGGAAUUAUGGGGCGUAAAGAGUGCGUAGGUGUUUUUGUAGGAGCAGGGUGAAAGGCUAUGGCUCAACCAUAGUAAGCCUUGCGAACUGUGAGACUUGAGUGCAGGAGAGGAAAGCGGAAUUCCUAGUGUAGCGGUGAAAUGCGUAGAUAUUAGGAGGAACACCAGUGGCGAAGGCGGCUUUCUGGACUGUAACUGACACUGAGGCACGAAAGCGUGGGGAGCAAACAGG
rnacentral:rRNA from 1 species